CGGGGCGUAGCGCAGCCUGGUAGCGUACCUGAAUGGGGUUCAGGUGGUCGCUUGGUUCAAAUCCAGUCGCCCCGACCA
rnacentral:tRNA from 1 species